rnacentral:rRNA from 1 species
GGGGGGGGGGGGCGGGGGGGGGGAGGGAGGCAGGUCGAACGGGAGCCCAGUAAGAGCGUGCUCUUACGGGUGGCGAGUGGCGGACGGGGGAGUAAGUCAGAGGAAGCUACUUUUUCUUGGGGGAUAACGUAGGGAAACUUCAGCUAAUACCGCAUCCGACCUACGGGUGAAAGCAGGGGAGCUUCUGACCUUUCGCGCUUGACUGAGCUGAUGUCGGAUUAGCUAGUUGGAGUGGUAAAGGCCCACCACGGCGACGGUCCGUAGCUGGUCCUAUAUGAUGAUCAGCCAAAAUGGAACUGAGACACGGUCCAGACUCCUACGGGAGGCAGCAGUGGGGAAUAUUGGACAAUGGGCGCAAGCCUUAUCCAGCCAUACCGCGUGGGUGAAGAAGGCCUUCGGGUUUGAAAGCCCUUUUGUUGGGAAAGAAAAGCAGCAGGUUAAUACCCCGCUGUUCUGACGGUACCCAAAGAAUAAGCACCGGCUAACUUCGUG